UUGGACACGGGUUAGUCGAUCCUAAGAGAUAGGGUAGUUCCGUUUUAAUGUUGGCGCUUGCGCCACGCCCUCGAAAGGGAAGCCGGUUAACAUUCCGGCACCUGGAUGUAGAUUCUCCGCGGCAACGCAACUGAGAGCGGAGACCUUGGCGGGAGCCCCAAGAAGAGUUCUCUUUUCUUCUUAACUGUCUAUCACCCUGAAAUCGGUUUGU
rnacentral:rRNA from 16 species